AACGAACGCUGGCGGCGUGCCUAACACAUGCAAGUCGUGCGAGAAAGUUCCUUCGGGAGCGAGUAAAGCGGCGCACGGGUGAGUAACACGUAGGUAACCUGCCCCCCAGUCUGGAACAACUAGAGGAAACUCUAGCUAAUGCCGGAUGAGACCACGAUCCCUUCGGGGGUUGCGGCCAAAGAUGGCCUCUACUUGUAAGCUAUCGCUGAGGGAUGGGCCUGCGGGCCAUUAGCUUGUUGGUGAGGUAACGGCUCACCAAGGCUGUGAUGGCUAGCUGGUCUGAGAGGAUGACCAGCCACACUGGGACUGAGACACGGCCCAGACUCCUACGGGAGGCAGCAGUGGGGAAUAUUGCGCAAUGGGCGAAAGCCUGACGCAGCGACGCCGCGUGAGUGAUGAAGGCCUUGGGUUGUAAAGCUCUGUGGGGGGAGACGGAAUAAGUCGUGGCCAACAUCCACGAUGAUGACGGUAUCCCCUUAGCAAGCACCGGCUAACU
rnacentral:rRNA from 1 species